AGCCGGGCCCUGUACGACGGAAUCCCAUGAACCCCGCCAGGCCCGGAAGGGAGCAACGGUAAGUGGGUAAUUCCGUGUGUUGCAGGUAGCCUGGCUGCC
rnacentral:SRP_RNA from 1 species